GGGGUCGGUCUCUGGCGGCUCGCGCCCGGGAAGGUCGGCCAGGGAGCGCGGGGUGCCGCGGGAGGGCGCGCGGGGACGCAGCGGGCGCCGAGGAGACACAGCGGCUGCGGUAGUGGCUACAGGAGCGGCGGCGGUAGCGGCGGCGACUGGGCCCGGCCGCAGCCCCUGCCUCCCGCCCGCGCGCCCUGCGUCCCGCCGCGGCCUGCAGCCUGCGGCGCCCGAGCUCCGAGGGCGCUUCCUCGGGCGCUGGGCCCGAGGCAGCCAAGACGGCGGGCCGGCCGGGCGCGGGGAGGCGGGCGCUGUGCUGCGGACUGCGCUGGUGGGGGGCGGCGGGCCUUGGCGCGGGCCCGGGCCCGGCGCGUGCGGCUGGGAGGCGCUGUGGGGGGCGGGCGCGCGGGCGGCGGCCGGGGCCUUGGCCGAGGUCGGCGGGGGCGCGCGGAGGAGGGCGCCGGCGCUGUUCUAGGCGGUCGGCGCGCGCUACGAGAGCCUGCACAUCUGGGACGACGUGUUUGGCGAGUCUGGCCCGGACAGCGGCGGGAACCCCUUCUACAGCACGUCCGCCGCCUCGCGCUCCUCCUCGGCCGCCUCCUCGGACGACGAACUCGAGCGCCCCGGUCCCCCGCCGCCUCCUGGCGCCCGCAGGAGUCCGACGAGGACGAGGCCAGCGCGGGUUAGAGUGCCACGCUGCGGGACCGCCCGCCCCCGCGCUUCGAGGACACUGGCGGAUCACUUGCUCAGAGCAGAGAAGAGUGAGAGGACAAGUUAGCAGCGUUAAGCUGUCUGCUCUCACUCCGGAAGGCAUUUGUGUGUUCUGCUUACCGACACGGUCAUGGUCAAGCCCCUGAUAUCUGGAGGUCGCAGGCCUGCUGGCAGUUGUGGCUGCUUGAAGUCCUCCUUUACUGCCUUCUUUUUGGGAAGGAAACUGUUACAAAAAGAAGAUCAUGGAUUGGGACAGAGGAUGAUUUUCUAGGAAGAAAAAAGCACAAGUAGAGGGAGAGGAUGAACAAGAAGCAGUAUCUGCACUGAGCAGGGAGCCAGAUGCAGGGCUGGAUCCCAGGACCCUGGACAGAUGCUGCACUGAGGGAGCCACCCAGGCACCCUUAGACCUAGGAUGCAGGUAAGAUCUGAAGGAGUCAAUCUGUUUCUUCUGUGGCUUCAAGCACUUCAGACAAACUUUGCAGAAGAGCAGGUGCUGAUUUUUGCUUGCCUCAUGCCUGGUUUCCCAGUGAUCAUGUCAUCCAGAGGGACCUGCAUGGUGGAGACACUCAUCAGUCCUAGCCCUGGUGUGGCGGAUGAUGAGGAACAUUUUAGCCAGCCUUACAGGUUGAAAUGACUCUGGAAGUUCUCUUGAGGGAUUCCUCAGCUUGUCAUGAUCCUGAAUAGAACCCUUUAUUUCAUAGAUGGGUUUGGAGGAGGAAUUAUCCCCUGCUCUUGUUCACAGUAAUGUCUUACAGACAUUAGAAUAGAAAGAAUCAGAGCCUUUUUUAUAUGCAAUGAGGACAGGAGACAUUUACUGAAGUGGUGGAAACAGGAAUGGAAGGGAGGACGCAGAUGUUGGAAACAGCAGGAAGUGGAGACACAUCAUGUAUCUGGAGUGUUUUCUUGGCUGUGAAUGAAAUUUAAAUCUGCCAUCCAAAACUACUGUUUAUUGUCCUCAGCACGAUUGUUUCACGAGUGGACAUUCAUCUGCUCACCCAGCUGUGAAUGUUCAUGCUGCAUUCAUGGGGAGACAGUAGCUGCUUCCUGGGAAAGUCAUGGCAACCAUCUGUGUCCCAUGAGUUUUUAAGGAACUUGCCAGUUAGGGCCAUUGAUUGAUUAAUGCACAUCACUUUAUUGCUCAAAGACAGGUAUUUGAUCCUUAGGCUGACCAAAGCAGAAUUUGGCAGAGAGAAGAAUAGUUUAGAGGGAGAGGUGGCUUCAUGGGACUUUGUACCAUAUAUCCAACCCCUUGAUGCUUGCUGGCCUGGAGUGUAGUGUGAGCAGGUUCCAAAGGAGGGGCAGAUGUAUUUUAAUGAAGGCCAUUUUUAAAAAACCCUUUGAACGUUGGUGAAAGAACUCCUUUUUUUCCCCACUCUGGAGCAAAGAUAUAUCCACAAGAAUCACUCCACUCUUGCUGGCCAUAUCAGGGGAAAGGAUCACUGAGGACCAAACAAGCUUUUUCUUUCCAGUACUAUUGAACUGUAUGGUUAUUCAGGUAAAAGCAAAAUCUUGGAUAAUUCAGGAAUGGUCUUCCUCUUGAUGGGAAAGAGGAAACAUUGCUUAUUUUCUCCCAGCUCAUCCAUAUUUAGUAUGUUUGUUGGUUUGUUUGUUUGUUUUUUGAAUUGAGUCUUUAUGAUAUUUCACUAGAACUUGAAUAUGUGCUAUAUCACAUCAGCAAAGACCUGGCAUACAUAAUAUUUUGUGUGAGAGUGUAUGUCAAGGAAACAUUUCAGUUCUCCCAUCUGCUUUCAUAUUACCAUAUUCACACAGAACACUUCACUUCUUUUUUUUUUUAAGAUUUU